UUUGAUAAUAGUUCGGACAUCUUAAAAAUGCUAAUCAAUGAUUCGCCUAUAUGAAUAGGUCAAAAACGCUUCAUAAAUUACCUUCAAAUAAUAAAGUCUACUGAAAGAAUAUGCCUAGACUAUUGCUUGGACGAUUGGAGGGGAGAAUGCAGACGCUCCGACCCUACCACCUACAGUCAACACCACGGACAAUUUUGCUUCUAUGUAUAUGUUGAGAAUUCUACUAUCGUUCCCUCGUCGAAGCAAAGAAAAAUCAACAGGUUUUUCGAAGAAGCGCUUCAUAUUCUUGUCGAAAGCGAAGAGCCAGCGCGCCACCACCAAAAUCAUUCCAGGAAGCGGCGUACCCGUCUGAUUUAAACUUUUUUUUUGAAGUGUCUCUAACGCGAAAUUUCCGGUACGCCCGACGCUGAAUCCUAGACGGGAGUUUUAAUAUUGUGAUAAA